UCAAUUCAGCAAUGAUUAAAAGCAAUAAAUAUAAUAUAAGUCUGAGCAAAAUGUCAAUGAGUAAAAAAGACUGUCAACUAAAUAGAUUAAUGUAUUAUGAAUCCAAAGAUAAAAUUCUUUUAAUAGUUUAAAUUCAAAGUAUGCAUCUAAUAUUACACUUGAUGAAACAAAUGCAAUGACAUAUAGCCAGAAUAAUUUUUCAUUAACUAUUACAAAUGAUGAAGCUGAAGGAAUAAGUCUUAAAUCACCAACAAAAAAUUCAAAACAUAUUUAUUCUAUUACGAAUUAUGAUGGUAAUGAUUCGACUUUUCAUAAAGAACAUACUGGUUACCAUGCUGAUAAAAUUAUCCAUAGAUUUGCUGCAAACCGAACAAAAAAUUAGACAAUAAUUUUCAAGGUGACAUUGUUAAUUUGGAUGCAUCAAUUGGAUGUUCAGAAACUUCAUUUUACAGUAUUGAUAAAGAGUACGAGUAUAUUGAUCCAGUCAAAAAUGUUGCAUUUAUCGAACGACGUUUGUUAGUUUUAUCACCGGGCGGAGACGUCGAUGAGAUGGAUGAGGCAGAAGACGAAAACAGCUGGCUCAAAAAACUUGGUAUUUAUUUUUACUGCUAGAAUAAAUAAUUAUUUAAUUGUCAAUUAAAUAUUGAUUACAUGUUUUGAAAUCAAUUAUCAAUCGAAUCAAAUAAAAAUGAGGCUUCUACAAGUUUGAAUAAAUGCUCAAUUGAUAAUGAAACACUUAGACGACGUCUUACUGAACAUGGUGAAGUAUUAGGACCAAGAACAAACACAACGUAUCAUGUUUACUUGAAACGUCGUCAUAUAUUAGAACGUAAACGUGAUCAAAAUUAUGAACAGUGUCAAAAGCUAAAGACAGUUAGUAAGGUGGAGAUAAAAAUUAGUCUAUCACCGAGUUCAUCUGAAUUAUUAACAACAGAUUGGCUAACAAAUUAUAAGUUUUAUCAAGAUUUAGAAGA